rnacentral:rRNA from 1 species
UUCCAGACUCCUACGGGAGGCAGCAGUGGGGGAUAUUGCACAAUGGGGGGAACCCUGAUGCAGCGACGCCGCGUGGGUGAAGGAGCGUUUCGGCGCGUAAAGCCCUAUCGGCAGGGAAGAAGGAGGACGGUACCUGACUAAGAAGCCCCGGCUAACUACGUGCCAGCAGCCGCGGUAAUACGUAGGGGGCAAGCGUUAUCCGGAUUUACUGGGUGUAAAGGGGGCGCAGACGGCAGCGCAAGCCAGGAGUGGAAUGCGGCAGCUCAACUGCCGAACUGCUCUGGAAACUGUAUGGCUUGAGUGCAGGAGGGGUAAGCGGAAUUCCUGGUGUAGCGGUGAAAUGCGUAGAUAUCAGGAGGAACACCGGUGGCGAAGGCGGCUUACUGGACUGUAACUGACGUUGAGGCUCGAAAGCGUGGGGAGCAAACAGGAUUAGAUACCCCAGUA